AUUGAACGCUGGCGGCAUGCCUUACACAUGCAAGUCGAACGGUAACAGGUUAAGCUGCCGAGUGGCGAACGGGUGAGUAAUGUAUCGGAACGUGCCCAGUCGUGGGGGAUAACUGCUCGAAAGAGCAGCUAAUACCGCAUACGACCUGAGGGUGAAAGCGGGGGAUCGCAAGACCUCGCGCGAUUGGAGCGGCCGAUAUCAGAUUAGGUAGUUGGUGAGGUAAAGGCUCACCAAGCCGACGAUCUGUAGCUGGUCUGAGAGGACGACCAGCCACACUGGGACUGAGACACGGCCCAGACUCCUACGGGAGGCAGCAGUGGGGAAUUUUGGACAAUGGGCGCAAGCCUGAUCCAGCCAUGCCGCGUGCGGGAAGAAGGCCUUCGGGUUGUAGACCGCUUUUGUCAGGGAAGAAAAGGUUCUGGCUAAUACCUGGGACUCAUGACGGUACCUGAAGAAUAAGCACCGGCUAACUACGUG
rnacentral:rRNA from 1 species